rnacentral:tRNA from 1 species
GGAGGAUGCAGCUCAGUGGUAGAGCACGUGCUUAGCAUGCAUGGAGUCCUUGGGUUCAAUCCCCAGCACCUCUA